rnacentral:rRNA from 1 species
UACGGAGGAUGCAAGCGUUAUCCGGAAUGAUUGGGCGUAAAGCGUCCGCAGGUGGCUGUGUAAGUCUGCUGUCAAAGAGCGAAGCUCAACUUCGUAAAGGCAGUGGAAACUACACGGCUAGAGUGCGUUCGGGGCAGAGGGAAUUCCUGGUGUAGCGGUGAAAUGCGUAGAGAUCAGGAAGAACACCGGUGGAGAAGGCGCUCUGCUAGGCCGCAACUGACACUGAGGGACGAAAGCUAGGGGAGCGAAUGGG